rnacentral:lncRNA from 1 species
UCUUGACUCUUUAUCCAAUUUGCCAGUCUGUGUCUUUUAAUUGGGUCAUUUAGCCCAUUUACAUUUAAGGUAAAUUUUGUUAUGUGUGAAUUUGAUCCUGUCAUUGUGAUGCUAGCUGGUUAUUUUGCCCAUUAGUUGAUGCGGUUUCUUCAUAGUGUUGAUGGUCUUUACAAUUUGGUAUGUUUUUGCAGUGGGGGAAAAAAGUAUAUUUUAUCUUCCUAUGUAAGCAUUGCCCUAGAGAUAAUGGGGGCUUUUUGGGAAAGGCUUACCCCAAAGUGGUUUUCCUAUACUCAUGCUAUUUCAUGAAAUAUAGCAGGAAGGAUUUAUUAUUCCAAUCUCAGUGAAAUCUUGGGAGGAACAACCCGUAAAAUCAUUUAUCAACCACUUAAACCUCAGUGCUGAUUUAUUGGCAGCUUUGCCAUUUUCAUUUAAGGGCUAUUGUUCUAUCUAUUGUCAAAUCAAAGAAUGCUGUUAUCACGUCUUUAAAGGAAAUGAAAAAAAUAGUAAACAACUUAUAAUAGAAUCAAUGUACUAUAGCAAAUUCACCUUUGUGUUUUCCUUCUUGUCUUUGUCCAUUUUCAUACAUUUUUAAUAUUGAUAUGAUCAUAGAGUUGACUAACUUUGUACCUGUACAGGUGGUGCCUGUAUGGUGGGGAGCUGUGAGCCAAAGGGAGAAGACAAAGUGACACAGGUGACAGCCACGAUUUUCUACCCAGGUGCGUUCUGUUGUCCCUGUUGCUCUGCUCUCUACUUCCCUUCACUUCACCCUCCUCCUUACCUACCUUGCAUUUUUGAGUGAAACUAAGUUCACUGAAACUUUAUAAUUAUUUUGAAUUUAAGAAUGUUUGCAAUGAUUGAAAUUCUCAAAUUGGAAUUGCAAAUUAAAUGACCAAAUCUAACUGCUGGCUGUCAUUUUCUUCUCCCUUCUCCCCAUGACUCCCCUACCCAACUCAAUACAUAUACAUAAAUUACCUACCACUUGCCAAGCAACUUGCAGGGCUGGAGAAUGCAGAAGUGGGCGACUCUUGGACUCUACUUUCCAGCAAUAGACUAACUGUUAAAGAGGUAAUUACUAAGCUAUAUCAUGAGAGCCAUGUUAGAGGAGAGCAAAACAAAACAAGGAUGGGGAGGAACAGCUGCAUGUUACAUUUGUAAUAAGAAUAGAGUAUCAUAAAUUCUGUGACAGCA